rnacentral:rRNA from 1 species
AUUGAACGCUGGCGGCAGGCUUAACACAUGCAAGUCGAGCGGAGUGAUGGUGCUUGCACUAUCACUUAGCGGCGGACGGGUGAGUAAUGCUUAGGAAUCUGCCUAUUAGUGGGGGACAACAUCUCGAAAGGGAUGCUAAUACCGCAUACGUCCUACGGGAGAAAGCAGGGGAUCACUUGUGACCUUGCGCUAAUAGAUGAGCCUAAGUCGGAUUGGCUAGUUGGUGGGGUAAAGGCCUACCAAGGCGACGAUCUGUAGCGGGUCUGAGAGGAUGCUCCGCCACACUGGGACUGAGACACGGCCCAGACUCCUACGGGAGGCAGCAGUGGGGAAUAUUGGACAAUGGGGGGAACCCUGAUCCAGCCAUGCCGCGUGUGUGAAGAAGGCCUUAUGGUUGUAAAGCACGUUAAGCGAGGAGGAGGCUCUUUUGGUUAAUACCCAAGAUGAGUGGACGUUACUCGCAGAAUAAGCACCGGCUAACUCUGUGCCAGCAGCCGCAGUAA